rnacentral:lncRNA from 12 species
UUUGCUCAGGUUGUGAUCCCAGGGUCCUGGGAUUUAGUCUUUCAUUGGGCUCCUGCAGGGAGCCUGCUUCUCCUUCUGCCUGUGUCUCUGCCUCUCUCUCUGUGUCUCUCAUGAAUAACUAAAUAAAAUCUUUUUAAAAAUUAUAGAAUUGAUGUGCAAUAGAACAUCAUAUCCUGGAAUCUGGGUUUUAUAGUCACUUCUACACACACACAAAAAAAGCAGAAUAUAAUAAUAAAUGAAUGCAGAGCCAUGAAUGUAUGUCCAAGUGCUCAGUGUCACACUAGAAAGCAAGCCUUCAUAAUCCACCUGUAACUCAUCUUUCAAAUUAAAUUGUUAAGUAGGUUUAUGAUGAUAUUUUUCCUGAGGAAAUGUGAUUACUUUAAAAUAUUUAAUGUAUUUUUGAGGUGCAAAGACUGACAUACAGAUAUUAAAUAGAUCAAUGUUAACUAGCACAAAGAUUGAUAGCCAUGGAUCUUGUCCAACCCUCUCAUUUUACAGAUUAAAAAAUUUGAACCCAGAGAAGUCAAGAAAAUUAUCCGAGUGGAUGUAAUUUCCAAUUCUCAUUCUUUACAUUAAUAUCAUGAUGCCUUGUUUAUUAUCCUAACAUUAUCUCAAUCUUGUUUCAAAGAGAGCCUUUUCCCUUACAUUUCAGGACCGGGAGGACAUUCAGCAGAACACACCCAGGAUUGGGCCAAGCGGCAGCCUGUUGCCCUCCUUCAUGCCAUCCUGGUCCCCUUUACAGGACCUCCCGCAGGGACCUGGGGCCCAGGACUGCCAGGCCCUGGCGGGGGGCCACUCCUGACCUGACCGUCCCCUGCUCCCACGGCCUUAGCUGCUGAUCUGGAAGUGAGCGAUGACACAUCAAUGUUUCUUCUUCUGCCCAGCUUUGAAAAUAAAGCAUUGGCUCCUGAGCAUUCUCCAAAGGACCAGCAGUGUCAUAAAGAAUUCGGCGGGCCUUUGUCCCUGUCCCCUGGACAUGUGUUCUGAACCCUGGAGGUUGCACGUGCUGGGCAAGUCCCCAUUCUUUUUUUUUUUUAACUUUUAAAAAAAUUUUUUAUUUAUUUAUGAUAGUCACAGAGAGAGAGAGAGGCGCAGAGACACAGGCAGAGGGAAAACAGGCUCCAUGCACCGGGAGCCCGAUGUGGGACUCGAUCCCGGGUCUCCAGGAUCGCGCCCUGGGCCAAAGGCAGGCGCCAAACCGCUGCGCCACCCAGGGAUCCCAAGUCCCCAUUCUUCAUGUGGAUGACACAUGACGGUUUAUACAAAUGUGGUUGGGGUGUGUGUGUGGGGAAGGCCCCAGACAAGAUCCACUACCUCCUCAGGGGCAGGAGAUGCCAGAGAGCCAGAGAUGUAAGAACUGGCAAGGCUCUCUG